UACAGAGGGUGCUAGCGUUGUUCGGAAUCAUUGGGCGUAAAGGGUGCGUAGGUGGGAUGGUAAGUCAGUGGUGAAAUCUCCAAGCUUAACUUGGAAACUGCCGUUGAUACUAUCAUUCUUGAAUCUCGUGGAGGUAAGCGGAAUAUGUCAUGUAGCGGUGAAAUGCUUAGAUAUGACAUAGAACACUGAUAGCGAAGGCAGCUUGCUACACGAGUAUUGACACUGAGGCACGAAAGCGUGGGGAUCAAACAGG
rnacentral:rRNA from 1 species